UCUCACGAAUUAACCAUCAUGCUUCUG
rnacentral:piRNA from 1 species